UACGUAGGGUGCGAGCGUUGUCCGGAAUUAUUGGGCGUAAAGAGCUCGUAGGCGGUGUGUCGCGUCGGCCGUGAAAACCUGCAGCUUAACUGUGAGCGUGCGGGCGAUACGGGCAGGCUAGAGUUCGGUAGGGGAGACUGGAAUUCCUGGUGUAGCGGUGAAAUGCGCAGAUAUCAGGAGGAACACCGGUGGCGAAGGCGGGACUCUGGGCCGAUACUGACGCUGAGGAGCGAAAGCGUGGGGAGCGAACAGG
rnacentral:rRNA from 1 species